ensembl:processed_transcript
AGCGGGACGGGGAACCGAAGAGGGUUGGCAGAGAAGCCACCGGUCUCUCCUCUUGGGGCCCCAAAAGGCGGCCUGCGGUGAUCGCGCGCUGUGACUGUCCAACGCACGCUCCGCCCAUAGGCGACCCUGGCGCGACGCGUGGGAGAAAACGUUACAGUCUAUUUUUUUUUUUUUUUUUUUUUUUUUUUUUUUUGUCAAUUGUGGGACAGGAGCGACGGCACAAUAACCUCAUUUGAAUGCGGUCUCCUGUGUGCCACGGCUUUGCUGUCACCCAAAGCCCAUUAUUGAAACACAUGUAGUCCUUACAUCCUUUGCUGGUAUUCUUGGCUUUUGUCCCUGCCCUUGCAGUAGCCGCCCUACCCUGCCUGGGUUUUCAUCUUUCCAACUACUGCCUCUUUCUCCAAAAAUUCACAUGUUUUGUCUGUUUUCUAAUCUUGGCUUCCGUUUGAAGCCAACUGCAAGCCGUUAAAAAUGUCUGUGGGUUCCCUCCACCUCCAUAAAUUCGGAAGCAAUCGGUCUUUCGUGAUGUCUGGGCUUUGAAAGGUUUUUUUGGUGUGCGUUUAUUUUUGUUUUUUGUUUAGUAAUCUAGCGAUUCUCACGCACAACUCACAGAGAAAUUAACUGUUAAAAGCGUCUAUUUUUGUGACCCUACCUAAACAUCGUUUUGCAGCUUCAUCUCUCGCAGGUGUAACAGAUGCUCAUGCUGAUCGUAAGCCCCAAGGAGACUUUUCGGCACAACCUCUGAAGCAGUGGCAUUGGCAGCCUCUCCUCCACUCUCUGAGGACCAGUUGGCAACCUCUGGAAGCAUUUUUCAUUGUCAGGGGAUCUGAACCAUCUCAUGGUCAUUAAGUGAAUCUGUCGCCUGGGAACCAAAUGACUGGGAAGAGAAAGGCCAUCCAUAGGGCUGGUGCUGAAGCAUUUGGUUCUACAGAAUUUCUAGCCCAUUGGCCACUCCACCCCAUUCAGUUACCAGAACCAGUGUCAGCCAAGAGGUGGAUUGUGAUGGUGCCUGUCUUCAAUCCCAGCACUUGGCAGGCAGGUCUCUAUGAGAAGUUUAAGACCAGUCUGGGCUACAUAGUGAGACCCUCCUGUCUCAAAACAAACAAAAGUGGAUUUGGCUUUGGUUUCCAGCUUCCCUUUCUUCAAACUUCCUCAAGGCCACCGUCUCCAUCUUCUCCAGGAGAAAAUGAAUCUUGUUCUCCUUUUAUAACCAUGCUGACUAAAUUUUUCGUCAGCUUGACAUAAAGUAGACUUAUCUGAGAGGAUGUGUUCCAGGUUCCCAGACCUCUAGUAUAACUCAUAGAAAUACAAUACAGGUCAUAGCAUCCAGCAUAUAGAAAGCACCACUAGCUAAAACAAUAACCAAACCCUAAUCCAUUGAAGUCCUUAAAUGGACUAACCUUGCUUAUUGGCUUCUAUAGUUCUACUUCUGGCUAACUGUUCUUGUUAACUGAACUAUGUCAACCAAGAUCAUGUUUUUUGUGCUUAAAACCUCACCCUAAGAAAAGCUCAGUGCUACAAUGGGACCCUGAACACCCAGUAUAUUUGCUGGCCAGAUAAUAAAGACCUUUUAUUGGCUU